rnacentral:rRNA from 1 species
CUGUAGGUGUUGCUUUUAGUGGGUGUUGGAUAUUAUCAUUUAGAGGCUACAGCCUCUAAGUGGCUUAAAUUUUUUGCCAAGUCGAAGGGACUGGAAAGUUCCGCCGUAGAGGGUAAUAGCCCUGUAGACGUAAAGCAAAAGAAGUCAGAUGAUAUCCAGAGUAUCACGGGACACGAGAAACCCUGUGAGAAUAUGGGAGGACCACCUUCCAAGACUAAAUACUCCUGAAUGACCGAUAGUGAACAAGUACCGUGAGGGAAAGGUGAAAAGAACCCCGGGAGGGGAGUGAAAUAGAAACUGAAACCGUAAGCUUACAACAAGUAGGAGGACUAUUAGAAAGUCUGACUGCGUACUUUUUGUAUCACGGACCGGCGAGUUACUGAUCGUAGCAGAAGGUUAAGCCAUAGAGGUGUAGCCAGAGCGAAAGCGAGUCUGAAUAGGGCGGAAGUUAUGAUGAGUAGACCCGAAACCGAGUGAUCUAUCCAUGACCAGGGUGAAGCGGGUGUAAGAGCCUGUGGAGGCCCGAACCCGGUGUUGUUGAAAAAACAUGGGAUGAGUUGUGGAUAGGGGUGAAAGGCCAAUCGAACUCGGAGAUAGCUGGUUCUCCUCGAAAUAGCUUUAGGGCUAGCCUCAGAGUAAAAGUUAGUUGGUUGUAGAGCACUGAUUGGACAAGGGGCCCAACAAGGUUACCAAAUCCAUUCAAACUCCGAAUGCCAAUUAAUGUUCUCUGGGAGUCAGACUAUGGGGGAUAAGCUUCAUAGUC